rnacentral:rRNA from 1 species
AAGGUUCGUCCGCCCUGGGUUAGUCGGGACCUAAGCUGAGGCCGAAAGGCGUAGGUGAUGGACAACAGGUUGAUAUUCCUGUACUACCGAUAACCGUUUGAGAGAUGGGAUGACACAGUAGGAUAAGCUAAGCACACUGUUGGUUAUGUGUGCCCAAGCAUUGGGGCAGUCAGAGUAGGUAAAUCCGCUUUGAUAAUGCUGGGAUGUGAUGGGGAGCGAAAUUUAGUAGCGAAGUAGCUGAUUUCACACUGUCAAGAAAAGUCUCUAUCGAGGUUAAAGGUACCCGUACCGCAAACCGACACAGGUGGGUGAGGAGA